rnacentral:lncRNA from 1 species
CUUGGACAAAGUUCAGAAUUUCUUUCCGGCGAGCGUCCACGUAACUAGCCCCAACAUACUUUCCUUUGAAGGCUGUCUUAAACAGCUCCCAAGUGACACUAUCAGCAGGAGUUCCAUCUCUCACCGUGAGCCACCACUGAUAAGCCUCAUCCCUGAGUAACGAUAUGGCUCCCUUCAGCUUCUGCUCCACAGAGCAGUCCAGAUCAUCCAUAAUCUGCUCUGUGGCUUCUAACCAAUACUCAGCCACAUUCAGAGCUACACCAGAUACGCC